AUUGAACGCUGGCGGCAUGCUUUACACCUGCAAGUCGGACGAGUGGCGAACGGGUGAGUAACAUAUCGGAACGUCCCGAGUAAUGGGGGAUAACUAAUCGAAAGAUUAGCUAAUACCGCAUAUUAUUCGAGCGGCCGAUAUCCGAUGUGCUGGUUGGUGGGGUCAAGGCCUACCAAGGCGACGAUCAGUAGCGGGUCUGAGAGGAUGAUCAGCCGCACUGGGCCUGAGACACGGCCCCGACUCCUACGUGAGGCAGCAGUGGGGAAUUUUGGACAAUGGGGGCAAGCCUGAUCCAGCCAUGCCGCGUGUCUGAAGAAGGCCUUCGGGUGGUAAAGGACUUUUGUCAGGGAAGCGGUACCUGAAGAGUAAGCACCGGCUAACUACGUGCCAGCAGCCGCGGUAAUAC
rnacentral:rRNA from 1 species